GGAGACCACUUCUACGGGAGGCAGCAGUGGGGAAUAUUGCACAAUGGGCGCAAGCCUGAUGCAGCCAUGCCGCGUGUAUGAAGAAGGCCUUCGGGUUGUAAAGUACUUUCAGCAGUGAGGAAGGUGGGUAUGUUAAUAGCAUACUCAUUUGACGUUAGCUGCAGAAGAAGCACCGGCUAACUCCGUGCCAGCAGCCGCGGUAAUACGGAGGGUGCGAGCGUUAAUCGGAAUUACUGGGCGUAAAGCGCAUGCAGGUGGUUUGUUAAGUCAGAUGUGAAAGCCCGGGGCUCAACCUCGGAAUUGCAUUUGAAACUGGCAAACUAGAGUACUGUAGAGGGGGGUAGAAUUUCAGGUGUAGCGGUGAAAUGCGUAGAGAUCUGAAGGAAUACCGGUGGCGAAGGCGGCCCCCCUGGACAGAUACUGACACUCAGAUGCGAAAGCGUGGGGAGCAAAACAGGAUUAGAUACCCUGGUAG
rnacentral:rRNA from 1 species